AUGAACGCUAGCGGCAGGCCUAAUACAUGCAAGUCGGACGGGAUUCAGGAGCUUGCUUCUGAUGAGAGUGGCGCACGGGUGCGUAACACGUAUGUAACCUACCUUUAUCAGGGGGAUAGCCUCUCGAAAGAGAGAUUAAGCCCGCAUAAAAUCACAGCACAGCAUUGUGUAAUGAUCAAAUAUUUAUAGGAUAAAGAUGGGCAUGCGGAACAUUAGCUAGAUGGCGGGGUAACGGCCCACCAUGGCGACGAUGUUUAGGGGAUCUGAGAGGAUGGCCCCCCACACUGGUACUGAGACACGGACCAGACUCCUACGGGAGGCAGCAGUAAGGAAUAUUGGGCAAUGGGCGGAAGCCUGAACCAGCCAUGCCGCGUGCAGGAAGACGGCCCUACGGGUUGUAAACUGCUUUUAUACGGGAAUAAACCCAGAUACGUGUAUCUGGCUGAAUGUACUGUAAGAAUAAGGAUCGGCUAACUCCGUG
rnacentral:rRNA from 1 species